GGUAGGGGAGCGUUCUGUAAGCCUGUGAAGGUGGCCUGUGAGGGUUGCUGGAGGUAUCAGAAGUGCGAAUGCUGACAUAAGUAACGAUAAAGCGGGUGAAAAGCCCGCUCGCCGGAAGACCAAGGGUUCCUGUCCAACGUUAAUCGGGGCAGGGUGAGUCGACCCCUAAGGCGAGGCCGAAAGGCGUAGUCGAUGGGAAACGGGUUAAUAUUCCCGUACUUGGUGUUACUGCGAAGGGGGGACGGAGAAGGCUAUGUUGGCCGGGCGACGGUUGUCCCGGUUUAAGCGUGUAGGUGUGUGUUCCAGGUAAAUCCGGUUCACUUUAACACUGAGGCGUGACGACGAGGCACUACGGUGCUGAAGCAACAAAUGCCCUGCUUCCAGGAAAAGCCUCUAAGCAUCAGGUAACAUCAAAUCGUACCCCAAACCGACACAGGUGGUCAGGUAGAGAAUACCAAGGCGCUUGAGAGAACUCGGGUGAAGGAACUAGGCAAAAUGGUGCCGUAACUUCGGGAGAAGGCACGCUGACACGUAGGUGAAGUGAUUUACUCAUGGAGCUGAAGUCAGUCGAAGAUACCAGCUGGCUGCAACUGUUUAUUAAAAACACAGCACUGUGCAAACACGAAAGUGGACGUAUACGGUGUGACGCCUGCCCGGUGCCGGAAGGUUAAUUGAUGGGGUCAGCGCAAGCGAAGCUCCUGAUCGAAGCCCCGGUAAACGGCGGCCGUAACUAUAACGGUCCUAAGGUAGCGAAAUUCCUUGUCGGGUAAGUUCCGACCUGCACGAAUGGCGUAAUGAUGGCCAGGCUGUCUCCACCCGAGACUCAGUGAAAUUGAACUCGCUGUGAAGAUGCAGUGUACCCGCGGCAAGACGGAAAGACCCCGUGAACCUUUACUAUAGCUUGACACUGAACAUUGAGCCUUGAUGUGUAG
rnacentral:rRNA from 1 species